rnacentral:misc_RNA from 1 species
GAAAUGCGAUAAGUAAUGUGGAUUGCAGAAUUCAGUGAAUCAUCGAAUCUUUGAACGCACCUUGCGCUCCUUGGUAUUCCUUGGAGCAUGCCUGUUUGAGUAUCAUGAAAUCUUCAAAGUAAAUCUUUUGUUAACUCAAUUGGUUUCUACUUUGGUAUUGGAGGUCUUUGCAGCUUCACACCUGCUCCUCUUUGUUCAUUAGCUGGAUCUCAGUGUUAUGCUUGGUUCCACUCGGCGUGAUAAGUUAUCUAUCGCUGAGGACACUGUAAAAGGUGGCCAAGGUAAAUGCAGAUGAACCGCUUCUAAUAGUCCAAUGACUUGGACAAUACUUUUAUGAUCUGAUCUCAAAUCAGGUAGGACUACCCGCUGAACUUAAGC